CGUGUAGGCGGUCGGGUAAGUGGAAUGUGAAAUGCCCCGGCUCACCCGGGGACCUGCAUCCCAAACUGCCCGGCUUGAGUAUGGGAGAGGAUGGAGGAAUUCCUGGUGUAGCGGUGAAAUGCGUAGAUAUCAGGAGGAACACCGGUGGCGAAGGCGUCCAUCUGGCCCAAUACCGACGCUGAGGCGCGAAAGCUAGGGGAGCGAACGGGAUUAGAUACCCCGGUAGUCCUAGCCGUAAACGGUGAUCACUAGGUGUUGGGGGCAUCGACCCCUCCAGUGCCGCAGCUAACGCAUUAAGUGAUCCGCCUGGGGAGUACGGCCGCAAGGUUGAA
rnacentral:rRNA from 1 species